rnacentral:rRNA from 1 species
AGAGUUUGAUCAUGGCUCAGGACGAACGCUGGCGGCGUGCUUAACACAUGCAAGUCAAGGGGAAAGUUUUGCUUCGGCGGGAUGAGUAUACUGGCGGACGGGUGAGUAACGCGUAGGCGACCUACCCAUAAGAGAGGGAUAACCCAGCGAAAGUUGGACUAAUACCUUAUAAUACUAUUUUAUUGCAUGAUUUUAUAGUCAAAGGGUGCCAAUUUAUUGGUAUUGCUUAUGGAUGGGCCUGCGUUCCAUUAGUUAGUUGGUAGGGUAACGGCUUACCAAGGCGACGAUGGGUAGCUGGUUUGAGAGAGCGAUCAGCCACACUGGGACUGAGAUACGGCCCAGACUCCUACGGGAGGCAGCAGUGAGGAAUAUUGCGCAAUGGGCGAAAGCCUGACGCAGCAACGCCGCGUGGGGGAUGAAGCUUUAUGGAGUGUAAACCCCUGUAAGUAGGGACGAAAGUUACCUAUACGAAUAGGAUGGGUAUUUGACGGUACCUACAGAGUAAGCUCCGGCUAACUCCGUGCCAGCAGCCGCGGUAAUACGGGGGGAGCAAGCGUUGUCCGGAAUUACUGGGCGUAAAGGGCGUGUAGGCGGUAUUGUAAGUCAGAUGUAAAAGGCUACGGCUUAACCGUAGAUUGUCAUUUGAAACUGCAGUACUUGAGUGCGAGAGAGGGUAGUGGAAUUCCCAGUGUAGCGGUGAAAUGCGUAGAUAUUGGGAAGAACACCAGUAGCGAAGGCGGCUACCUGGCUCGUAACUGACGCUAAUGCGCGAAAGCGUGGGGAGCGAACAGGAUUAGAUACCCUGGUAGUCCACGCCGUAAACGGUGAACACUAGGUGUUGGUCCCGACGUGUCGGGAUCGGUGCCGCAGCAAACGCAUUAAGUGUUCCGCCUGGGGAGUACGAUCGCAAGGUUGAAACUCAAAGGAAUUGACGGGGGCCCGCACAAGCGGUGGAGCAUGUGGUUUAAUUCGAUGCAACGCGAAGAACCUUACCAAGACUUGACAUGUCAGAAGUAGCGAACCGAAAGGUUAGCCACCUGUAAAAUCAGGAACUGUCACAGGUGCUGCAUGGCUGUCGUCAGCUCGUGCCGUGAGGUGUUCGGUUAAGUCCUGCAACGAGCGCAACCCUCGUCGCUAGUUAAAUUCUCUAGCGAGACUGCCCUGCAAAACGGGGAGGAAGGUGGGGAUGACGUCAAGUCAGCAUGGCCCUUAUGUCUUGGGCUACACACACGCUACAAUGGGUGGUACAAUAGGUAGCGACAGAGCGAUCUGAAGCCAAUCCCUAAAGCCAUCCUCAGUUCGGAUUGUAGGCUGAAAUUCGCCUGCAUGAAGUCGGAGUUGCUAGUAACCGUGGGUCAGCACACUACGGUGAAUACGUUCUCGGGCCUUGUACACACCGCCCGUCACGUCAUGAAAGUUGGUAACACCUGAAGUCGAUGGGCCAACCCGGUUUACCGGGGAGCAGUCGCCGAAGGUGGGGCUGAUGAUUGGGACGAAGUCGUAACAAGGUA